rnacentral:lncRNA from 1 species
GCAAAGGCAAUUGCUGAAGUCAUACAAGAGAAAUAUAAAAAACCAUGGUUGUCUUGGGGUGAGAUAAAAGAGGAUAAGACACCUCAAUUUAGCGAAGUUGAUCAAUUUUUACAUUGUUUCAAAGUAAGUGAUUAGAUUAAUUUAUUUAAUUACUAAUUAUAUAUACAUUUGAUUGCUUAAUUGAAUUAUAUUUUUAAUAUUUUUUAAAUUUAAACAAACAAUAGACUAAAUGUACUUGGAAAAGAGAGCAUGAUGCCGCAGUUUUGACUUCUUUUGACCAUCGCUUUUCCAAGCGUCUCUCAUCUAUGUUGGCUUACGCAAGUAAUAAGGGCGAGGAAAAAUGACCUAAUUGAAUUGGUGAGAAUGUUUGGAGUGCGUUGUAAGUCAUGAGCUUCCCUGAUCAUGUUUUUGAUUUAAUUCCCAAACACACAGUACAUGUGAAAUAUUUGAUUGAUCUAAUGUUUUGAAUUGAGAAAUAUUUCAGGUAUACAAGAAGACACCACACACAAUUGGAACAAUAGCUUGCAACUCAAGGAAUCAACCAAAGUUGGAGGAUGCACUUGAGAAAGACGCAAAAAUUGUAUAGUGUUAUUAAGUGUCUUAGUAAUAAGUUUAGUAGACUAAUCACUAUGGUCUCACACUUAAGUCUUUGCCUAUGAAUGAAAAUCAAUCAACCAAAAAGUCAAUUGCUGAAUCGAUUGAUAAAUCGAUUGUCUGACUCAGAACAAGUGUUUUCAUUACAUCAAUCGAUUGAGGAAUCGAUUGGAUAAAUGUUUUUAAGUGAAACCUGAGUUUUGGGAUACAAUCAAUCGAUUAGACAAUCGACUGGGCAAUCCAUUGAGCAAUCGAUUUAGUAAGUCACAGAAACAACCAAUGAUGGGAACAAUCGAUUACCAAAUCGAUUGAUACCAAGUUUAAAAUCAGGUUUAAAGUUCUGUGAUGCAACAAAUCGAUUGGGACAUCAAUUGAUUUAGUUUUCUUAAAAAUCCAAGUUUGACGCAAUCGAUUGCAGAUUAAUCAUUCAUCAGAACAACUUUGAUCAAAUCGAUUGGCAAAUAGAUUUUGUCAAAAUAGUUGAGGUUCUGUAACACGCACAAUCGAUUGGCUAAUCGAUUGAUGGAAAAGUCUGAGUCACUAUGAUCAGCACAAUCGAUUGACGAAUCGAUUGAAGAAAAUGUUCAAGUUACAGAAAGGGUUCAACUAAGUGCCAAAUCGAUUAUGAAGUCGACUAAGGAAUCGAUUGUUUUGAUUUCGUUGUUGAAUCAAAACACCUAUAAUCGAUUACUCAAUCGAUUUGGAUAAAACCAUAGUUCCAGUUCUGAUUAAUGUAUUAAAAGAAUCGAUUGGCAAAUCGAUUCAUGCUUAUAUGAUUCAAGAUUCAAGAAAAACAAGACCUGUGAAAAUCAAUUAGACAAUCGAUUAAUGCAUUAUGAAAUCGAUUAGGAAAUCGAUUGUCCUGAUGUUUUCUUUGAAUAUAUAUAAGCUGAUUCAAACGUUUUUAAAAAGAACUUUUGCAUAAAACUUUUGCAUACUUUUCAUAAUCUUUGACAAUCACUUGAAAAACACUUUUGACAGAAAAGUUUUUCACACACAUACACACAAACAUUCAUAGCCAAAAAAUACUUUUGUGUGAGAACCAAAAUAGUGAUUUGAGUCAAAUCUUUGUACAUCUUUAAUUCUUGAAAAACACAACUCUUUGUAAUUAAAGGAUUGGAAAAUCCAGUUUAGAAACUGGUGGCGAUCUUCGUUGAUGUAGGAUCAUCAAGAAGGAGCUUCACUUGAUCUUGUGUAUGUUUGACCAUUGACUGCAAGGAUCAAGGGGUUGAGAAAUAGAAAAGAGUUUGAGUUAGAUAGAUAUGCUUCGAGGAAGAUGGACAAAUCUGUAAAAGGGUCUCAAUUCUUUCUAUUGAAAAAGGCUGAAAUCCAGUUGGAUUUCAGGACUGGAUGUAGGCUGUCAUACUGACAGCUGAACCAGGAUAAAUCUUGGUGCCAUCUCUCUAUCCCUUAUCUCUUUACUUUUCAUAUUCAUCUUGUAUGCGAUCUAAUAUUUCCGCUGUGUACUUUGUGUAUGAAUCUUGCAUAGUUCACAUAGGAAUUAAAAUUGAACACGUUGGAUUUGAUCUUAAUUCUCUUAUUCUUAAUCAAAAGAAGUCAUAUUUUUCCAACAUAAGACACCUCAAUUUAGCGAAGUUGAUCAAUUUUUACAUUGUUUCAAAGUAAGUGAUUAGAUUAAUUUAUUUAAUUACUAAUUAUAUAUACAUUUGAUUGCUUAAUUGAAUUAUAUUUUUAAUAUUUUUUAAAUUUAAACAAACAAUAGACUAAAUGUACUUGGAAAAGAGAGCAUGAUGCCGCAGUUUUGGCUUCUUUUGACCAUCGCUUUUCCAAGCGUCUCUCAUCUAUGUUGGCUUACGCACGUAAUAAGGGCGAGGAAAAA